AGUGAACGCUGGCGGUAGGCCUAACACAUGCAAGUCGAACGGCAGCACAGUAAGAGCUUGCUCUUACGGGUGGCGAGUGGCGGACGGGUGAGGAAUACAUCGGAAUCUACUUUUUCGUGGGGGAUAACGUAGGGAAACUUACGCUAAUACCGCAUACGACCUACGGGUGAAAGCAGGGGAUCUUCGGACCUUGCGCGAUUGAAUGAGCCGCUGUCGGAUUAGCUAGUUGGCGGGGUAAAGGCCCACCAAGGCGACGAUCCGUAGCUGGUCUGAGAGGAUGAUCAGCCACACUGGAACUGAGACACGGUCCAGACUCCUACGGGAGGCAGCAGUGGGGAAUAUUGGACAAUGGGCGCAAGCCUGAUCCAGCCAUACCGCGUGGGUGAAGAAGGCGUUCGGGUUGUAAAGCCCUUUUGUUGGGAAAGAAAAGCAGCAGGUUAAUACCCCGCUGUUCUGACGGUACCCAAAGAAUAAGCACCGGCUAACUUCGUG
rnacentral:rRNA from 1 species